CUUUCCCUAAGCGUGCAGGCUCUGGGGCCCAUGUGCGGCCGCAGCUGCGAGCAUCUCCCGGUCCCCACGGCGGCGACCGAGGCAGGACCCAGCGUCCGGAGCUCAGGGGACAGGCUGAGCGGGGCCAUCAGGCUCCUUACCCGGCCACAGCGGGCAUAACGGACGUGAUAAAGAGCCGCUGGGGUCGCUGAGGUUCCCUCGGGGCUCAUGUGGGGGCACCUUCUGCGCCCUUUGCCCAGUUUGCCUCACGGCCGCCUCGCAAGCACCGUGACAGAGGGGGGGACACCCGGCCGCCCGCGCCCCUGCCUCCUCCUGCUGGUGCCCCUGCCCCCUGCCCGGCCGUCCCCAGGACUGUGAGGCUGGAGCGAGACAACGCGGCCCCAGGACUAUGGUGUCGCUUUUACAAAAUGGCACGGCCCGUCCCAUCACUUGCGUCCAGAGAGCCUCUGUUCGGGGCAGCUGAGCUCCCAGGGCUGCAGAGCCACGCGCGCAAUCCCGCUGCUUCUGCGGGGAGCCCUGUCCCCCUCUCCUCGGGCCUAUGGCCCGUCCUUGGUACAAAGUCUGGCUCAAGACCCACUUCUCCUGGCAGUUGUUCUACCACCUGCUACACAGUGCUGCCAGCCUGCCGGGGACGGGCCACCACUGACCCCACCGCUCGCCCCACUGCUGGCCCUGUCGCUGGCCCCGAUGCUGACCCCGUUGCUGACCCCAUCGUGGACCCCGUCGCCCGCCAGCCCACCUGCUCCUUACCUCCCCGUGUCCUGUUUUCCCACGACAAGGCGAAUCACCGAAGGCCGAGGACCCUGGGCGCCAGCCUGGAACCCGUCGCUCACUGGGUGCUAUGGUAACUAACGCAUUGUGAGGCCACGGCUUCGAGAAAGCCCUUUCUGCCUCAAUUUAUGCAACUGGACACUUGCUUGGAAGAGAUGUCGAGAGGAAAGGUUGUUUUUGGUCAAAGGCAUGAAAACUAAUUUUUAGGAAGGUUUUUGUUGGAUUCCGCUGUGUUCUUGCCUCUUCCCCAUUUAAACCCUGGCGUCUAUUCCCCCUUCUUUGUCCUCCAUAUAAUACAGAUAAACGGGGCCACGAAUGCUGACCACAACCAGAAAAACCGCCACACAAACUAGAGGGAUGAAGCCAUCAUUUUGAAUGUGUAGCCAUCGGUGGUGGGGCCAUUGGAUCCCUUACUUCAUCAAGGAAUCAGCGUGAUCAAAUUAGCAUCUUUUGCUACAAGCAGAGCAAAGCGGUAGUUCUCCAAAGGGAAGCAAGGCUGAAAGAAGAUGUGCCAACAGAAUUCAGAGCCAGGUCAACAGUUGCUAAAUGAAAAUAAUCUAAUGACAGUCACUUCUGAUGGUUUUUGCUUUUGUUUGUUUGUUUGUUUUUUUACUCUGAUAUUUGCACCAUUUAAUAAAACGUUACUCACUGCAAAAAGUGGGACAAAAUGAAUGUGGUCUACAUUGUAAAUAAGUGUUCUUCAUUCUUGCAGUUAGACCAGAAAUAAUUUUAUGCUGCAGAGAAAAUCUAGGUACCUCAAAGAUUCUAGAAAAAUAGCAAGCAUUUAGGGUUAAUAAAUGUGAAAGUGAUUUGUUAGCUAUUACAGUGUAAGAGUAUUCCUAUUUUCCCAAGGUACACCUAUGACCCCAAACAGAGCUCUAGAAUGGAAAAGACUCUUUUUUUUUUUUUUUUUCUCUCAGAGAUGUGGCUCAUCUGGUUUCAAGUUAAAGCAGCUUGGUGGGUAGGAGGACAGAGCUUGUCUUGGACUAGGCCAUACAGGCUUCAACUACACUGUCUCUCACGCUGUCACUCAAACCAGCGGCUGUCAAACAAGGUCACAGAUUCACCCAAUGGCUUUUAAUAAUUUGGCAUUACUUUCGUAUGAAUAAUUUAUAAUCUCCAAAGUACGAGACUAUUAUUUAUGGUUAGUAGCUGUGAGAUAAUGAGACACAUGGUUUUAGGGCUGUUUUUAUUACCAAGUGGUGUCCAUAUAGUUGUAAGGAGUUAAAAUAAAGAGAAGUGAAAGUGGAUCUUUUUUUUUUUUAAGAUCAUAUCAGAGGCAGAAAUGAUAUAUCACAGAUGAGAAUAAUACUGGCUGUCUCUUCAAAUUUAUCCAUUACAAACACCACACCACUUCUUUGAAAUGGGAGCUUACAGCAGCAUUCUGGCGGUUUCUUGAAGUCAGUCGUUUUCACUCUCGGAGGAAAUAAAAAACGGACUUGUUUGGUCUUUGAGUCUCAGUUCCUACUGGGAAUAAGACAAUUAAGUAUCAUUUUUUUUAUUUUCACUUUGGGUCUUAAAGAAUAAAAACUAUUUUGUCUCUGUGAAAACUUGGGAAAAAAAUAGAUAUUGUAUAAUGAAAAAAUAUCAUCUGUAAUACCACCAAAUAAUUUUCACAGAAACAGGAAUCGUAACGAGUAGUUUUUUUUCCUGUUACCUUUGAUCAUUUCCCACAUUUAAAAAUAGCAUUUGAAAAUGCUAUCUUUAAUGAUUAAAAAUAUUCCACUGUAUGGAUGGUUACAUAAUUUAUUUCCCUAUUAUUCAAUAGUUUUGAUUUUUCCAGUUUUUUCAUUGUUAUGAAUACCUCUUUGACGAGAGUUCUUGAACAUAUAUCUUUAUUCAUAUUUCUUAUUAUUUCCUCAUGAUAGAUUCCCAGGCGUGGGGUUACUGGGUCAAAGAGGAAGAAAUUUUUAAACCUCUUGGUAUGUUUCACCAAGAUACGUUCCAGAAAGUUCAUAAUGAUUUACAAGCCUACCAACAGUGGGAAUGGGUAUUGCCUUAGACAAAUUUUGUCAAGCUGGUAGGUUAGAAAAAGGUGCAUCGUUGUUCUAAUUUGCAAUCUGUGGAUACUAGUAGCUGGACAAUUUUAAUAUGUUUAUUAGCCAUUUAUACUUAUUCUUCUGAGAAAUGUCGGCUAAUGUCGUUUGCCCAUUUUAUUCUUUUGUGCGGUUAACACUUUCCUUAUUGGAAAGGAAAGGGCUCUUUGUAUAUUAAAAGAUACUGAUUCCAUGAAACAUUUUAAAUCUAUGUGUAUGUUUUAUAAUUGAAGAGACCAUGUAGGUUCUGUAAAUAUCUCACCAAUUAAAGAUAGGUUCACGCCACACAUCUCCAGUGACUGAAGUGUGGUUUGCAAAAUUUAUGAAUUAGCUUUUAUUUAUCAUCAAUAUCUUGAAUUCAUGGAACCAGUAGAUAAUAUACAUGUGUGUGUGUGUAAAACAAAUAUACGUAUUUACGAUAUCUACCUAUAUAUAGAUCAUACCGUCGGAAACCAAAAUCAUCAUCUUCUUAUAACCACCAAUCUUCCCACCCAUAACUGGAGACAAGUCCAACAUAUGCCUGUGAGGAAACAGACACGUUCAGGAUGGCUCUCACUUCUCACACAUUCCCAGUCAUGUGGGAGAGGUGGACGUGGACACAAUUAACUUCAACACAAGGCGGGGUUUGGUAAGCGCUGUAGCAGCAUCACAAACAGAACGCGUCAGGCUUCUGUAGGAAGGAGAGAUUAAAGGCGGCUGAGCUAGUCCCCUUGUGGACAGGGUGCCUGGAAGCACCUCGUACACAAAAGAUAAUUUUUAGUCUGGUUUGACCCCGUUAGGCCUGGCCUCAACCUCUCUAAACAGAUCGGUCUUGGACAAGGAGAAGGUGGACCAGUGACAGCGGUUAAGUGUUGCGGUGCGGGGAAGAGAGAGAAGUGAAGGGCGAAGGCUCUUCCAGGAAGAGGGACAGCUUGGCUGGAAAGGGACAGCGUAGGGCCCUGCAAGUAUAUCGGCGUGGACCGGGUGGGGGCACACAGCCUGGGGUGGGCCUUGGCCCCCUGGAGAGGCAGGUGAGGACCAAAGAGUGGGCGUCUCGGAGUGUCAAGCUGCUUAUGUUAUGAGAAGUGGGGAGCCUUUGAGGUUCCUGAGUGGAUGAGAGCUGUUGGAGGCGAUACCUAAGUCAGACUGAGUGGCCGCAGAACAGUGGGCGUGGGGAACCCAGACGGAAGUUGAGACUAGGGAGUGACGUUCCCAGAGGAAAGCCAGUGAAAAGGAGAGUAUGUAACUAAGGGCCACGCUGGAGGCAGAACUGAGAAGAUUUGGUGACUCAUUGGAUAUGGUGAAGAAGAAGGGAAGGGGAAGGAGCAAGAUAAAUCCCAGACAAUCCUGGAGAGUUGUCUUGUUUGCCUUCCCAUCCCCAGGGGUGUGAUUCCUUGGCAGGGCUCAGGUGCAUACCUGCGUUACAAACAUCACACAGCUGGCUGCAAUCAAAGGCUUCUGGUUUCGACAUCAAAGGGAGAACCCUCCUCUCCGCACCCCGUGCAGGACAGAGCACCCUGGGCAGGUUUCUGGAGGAACACUGGCCAGAGCCUCAAUCACUGCGACUUGCCCGAAACAGACACGAAGCUGUGGGACACUGGACGGGUUCCUCAACCUCUUGCAGCCUCCGUCGCCUCAUCUGAAUUCACUUCCUCGUGUGGCUUCAGGAAUUAGGUGAAAAAUGAAUGUGGAUGCUUUUCAGAGUGACUAGUAACCAUAAGUGCUCCAUUAAUGCUGGCUAUUGAGUUGAUGGUGGUGAACAUUUGGGCGCUACUUGUGAAAAGUAAGAACAGGGAUACCCCCAUGUGAAAUGCAAGGGCUGAAUAUGCGAUAAACUUGGAAGGGGCACAAAUUCAUAACAUGAAGCCUGAUUUAGACAUAAGGAAUAGAAGCCUAAGCUACACUGCAAUCCUAAAGAGAAAAAUAAUUCGAAAAACAAACUCUUAGACUCAGUUGUCUUGCCUGAGAUGGCAUCCAAGGGUUUUCCGUGCUCCAUCCCUUCUCCUUCUACUCACUUCCGAGUUUAACAUGGCUUGACGCAUUGUAGACUUACCAGAUGUUGUAUUUAAUGUGUAUUAUUUGCUCUGUGAUAUUCAUAUUCCUUAGGAUUAGAGGGUUAAUUUAAGCCAGUUGUAUAUGUGUGCCAACUAGAUAUUUAGGACUCUGAGCGGAUACUCGGCAACCUUUGUGAAUGCGGUAUUUCCUUAGACAGGCCUGGAGCACUGAUCCAGAUGAGACGCUCUCUCUUAUAAGUGGGGUUUAGUCAUAUUAGAGGAGAGUUGCACAAUGACAGUGUCUUAAAUGUUUUCUCAGACUGAUGACCUUGAGCAAAACGUCUUUCUAAAUUAAAUGAAAUUAAAUUAAAGAAAACAACAGUGAUUGUAAGUGUGUGGUCUCCAGCAGCAAUUCAGUAAAUACACAUGGCACCUGGUCUGUGGGAGAGCGACUGGUUCAUUACAGGGUGUGCGCACCUGAUGCCUCUUUGAAACGGAGUCCAGACAUAUGAAAUGCAAAAGCAGUGGAAGUUUUUAUGAAGGCACAAGCAAUAAUGGGCGCUUGGAUAGACUUUCAAGGCUUGCUCCUCUCUCAUGAAAAUUCAAUUAUAUGAUGAGUUUUGGUUUUCUGAUCCUGAACAUCCCUCCUAAGUUUUCUCUAUUGACAUCCGGCUCCCUUUGGAAGGCAAGAUAUAAAAAACAAAUAUUUUUUUUUAAAAACCAAAUAUUUUUGCUUUCUUGGUAAUUUACAUUGAAAAUUGUCUUAGUUUCUUGACAUUUGAGAAAUGGCCCUUCCUUUAGCCACCAUGUUUAAAGUAUUUGUGGAUUUCAGCAUCAAAAUAAGAAAGAUAUUAAUGGAUUAUCACACAUGAAUAACAUAAGCAUUUGUCAGUCCAUUUAAUAACAAACAGACAAAUGAGAAGAGGAAGCUCCUCCUUCCAGUAGGAAUCAGACUAAUCAAUGUAGACAGAAUGAGGAUGAUGAAGUUAACAAAAAAAAUCAUCAUUUUGUAAUCCUUAGGAAAGGAUCAUUAAUAGAUGCUAAAGGUAGUGGCUAAAAAUUUGAUGAGGAACAGGUUUCAAAGUUUCAAAGGGUACUUUCAAAGUAUCUUCCUAAAUUAUUCAUUAAUUAUAUAAAGAAAAUGGUGACAUUAUAGUGGAGAAACUGGCAGGUGCCACUUGCACCAAGUGAUCAAAGUGAGCAUCACCACUGGUGGGACCAACCAACAGUAUGAGCCUCCUGCGCUGGUCCCCUGAGAAGGACACAGUAUCACUUCUGUGGUAUUCCUGCCAAAAAUGCAUAAUCUGAAUUUAAUCUAAUCAUGAGGAACACAGACAAAUCCAAGGUCAGGGGCACGCUACACACCACAGGCCUGUUCUUAAAAAAAAAAAAAAAAAAAAA